rnacentral:lncRNA from 1 species
CGUGGCAAAGACACUGACGCAGGAAGGCCACGCGGAACCGGCCACGUGGGCGAUCCGCGUGCGCGCGAUCGGACGUCUAAGAUCCGUUCCUGCGAGCACGGACGGCCCAAAUAAAACGCGCGCACGGAUGACCCAGAUUGCAUGCGUGUAGAUGGCCCAGAUAAAAUAAUGCACGGACCGCCCAGAUUAAAUCGUGAUGGACGACUCAGAUUAAAAGAGGAGGGUUAUAAAUAAUCUCAUCCACAC